GGAUAAGAACCUCUUCCCCUCCCUUGUCCAAGUGUGUGCUCACCAUUGCUCCAUAUGCAAGGGCACAUGCUUCUAUAGAAGUACAUUGCCUUGCGAGAAUUACAAAGAAAAUUUUAUAUUGGAGUGAUAUUUCUUUUGUGGCACCAAAACUUUAUUUAUAACAAUUUGGGGGCUCAUCCAGGAUUACAUUCCCCUCCGAGGGUGAUCUCUGGUCCUCUCUUGCAAGCAGGCUUGCUCCGCCCCCUUGUGGCAGCCUCAGGGGUGAGAAAUCAGGACCCACCCAGUGCAAGAUAUAACUUGAGCUCUCAGCAAUGCAGAAAGAAACUCCCUAGCAACCUAGCUGCAGGAAUGACUCUGUGCACAGAUCAAGAAAGGAGAAGCCACGGGAGCUGCAGCACAAAAUGGAUUAAGACAUCUCUCCUGGUACUUAUGCUUUCUUGGAGGAGGAGGUAAUAUGGGAGAAAUGAAAAAUUUUUUAAAAGCAAUUUUCUAAGCAAAAAGGAAUCAACACUUGAUGAUUUGGAAAACCAUCAGCCCAUCCAGAUAGCGUAGCCUCAAAACAAAGUCUAAGGUCUGACCUUAAGAAAAUAGGACCUUCCAUUUUCUAGCUCCUGGAACACUUCCACUUAGCACCCAGCCAUCAGACUGUGUAUGAGGAGAGGAACUGAGACCUGCAGACCAAUAACCUAAGCUGAACUCGCAGCUGAAAGCUAACCCACCUCUAAUGGACUCUCCACUCAAAAUCCAGAUUAGUGAACCAAAUAUAUGACUGUUGUUUUUAAGCCACUAUGUUUUAGCAUGGUAUGUUACACACCAAUAGAUAACUAAAACUGUUCUCUCACCAUCUCAACAUCCUCUUCAUAUUUUCUAAAUAAUAAAAUAUGCCAUUUGAUUUUACAAGAAACAAAUGUUAGAUGGCAGGGCUGAAGUUAAAUGGGAACCUAAUGUUCACAACGACUAACAGAUUUGUAAAUUGAGCUUAUAUGUCUACAUCAAAGUUCUCAAUCUUUAUUUAUGCUAUAGUUUAAAGCAUGACUAUACUUUUCAGCUGACUCUCUUGAAAAGUGGAGUAUAAUUAAUAUAUUGAUACCUGGAUAUAUUAUAUUUUAGUUCAUGAUUCCAUUUAGUCCUGAAAAAUAGAAGGCAUUGUCAUUUUGUAGACAUCUCCUUGAUAUAUUUGUGUUAGAGUUAACUCAAUUUUUUAAAUGUAAGAUUUAACUCUAUGACACUAAUCACCUGUCAUCAGUCACUGACUAUAGUUCAAUAUCAUUUGAGUCACCAAGGCUAAGAUAUACCAGAUAACUGUUUCAGUACAGGUGAUUUGCAUUUAUCAUCUAAGAGCUUAUAAGAACCUCCUCUCACUAAAAUAUCAGAGGUCUAACUUUUACCCCCUUCCUCACAUCAAAAGCAUAAAACGCUGAGAUAUAUAAAGAGGAGAUUUCAGGGAGUUUGAGAACUUACUCAAAUGAUGUAACUCAUUUGACAAAUGACUUGCUUCAUGCAUCUUUUAGAUAGCUAAGUCCAAUUAGCUAAAAUUAUAGUUGAAUUGAAUAUGUAAAUAUCUAUAAAGUUGGCCUAAUUAGAUCCAUAGGGUGGUGUAGCAUCUGUGUUUAAAGCCCAGCAAUUGUGAAGAGGUUUUGGUUGCAAGCUUAGGGGAGGCUGUGAAGACUGGCAAGUCUAAGUCCUCCCGUGGAAUCUGAGAUUUCACAGGUAGUAUCUGAGGAUGGGUGUGAGAUUACUGCUCAAGCCAGAAAGAUUAACAGCUGCCUCAAUGGGAAUAAGAGUCACUAGGAAAUUUGAUUCUAUCAUUCCUGAAUCCAAGGUGGCGUUAACAAGCUUAUUAUGUAAGAAAGCAGCCUCUGUUACUAAUCUAAGCUGUAUCUGUUUUUCUGCUUACGCCUAUGAACCAGAACAUAAGAAGUAGUAGAACAAAUGAUAUGAAUCUACAAAUUAUGCCACGUAUUUUAAUUCUUCACUAUUUAAAUAAUUAAAAACUAAGUUUUCUUCUAAAUGUGUCACAUAGUAUAGAUUUUCUAGGGUGCACUUAAGAAAUUUGGUGUACUCAAGAUGAUCAACCUGUCUCAAAAUAAACUUAGAUUUUUUGAAGACUCUUCUGUUAAAUUGGACUUUGACCAUCACUGACACUUAUUUUGACCUUAUAAUACCAUAAAUAUGUACCCUUGAUCAAGACUCCAGCUGAUAGACCCUUAGCAUAGAUACAUAAAAAUAAUAAACCUUAUCUGAACAUCUGUUUUAAGUCAGCUUUUGCUGUGGAAGCUGUUACAAUUACAAAUUAUUUCCAUUUGAUUUCACUGAAAUUCAAUUAACUUCGAGCAAAAAUUAGCAACACUAAUUUUUAAAUAAGGAUGGGGUGAAGGUGAUAGUUAUUGUGGAGCAUUGAUAUGAUAGAAGCAGUGAGGGUAGAAAAUGUGUGAACGUUAAAUGCCUUUAUUACUCAUUUUACAUUUCAUCAGGUAUCAGAUGGCAUGAAAAUACGCUGUCUUGGUCUAUUUUCUUGCUACCACCCCUAAGAUAUCACAUACUUGGCUGUUUCUUAUUCUAAAACCACAGUCCCUUGGGGGCUAGCUAUUAUUUUAAUGAUCAGAGUGAUGAUGAGUCUCUGAAUACCUUAAGGUUUGUAUACUAAGGAUUAUCUCAAUUUAGCUAACAUAAGCUCUAUGAAUGUGUUGCAUAUAAAAUCAUUUUAUCUAAGGCCACAUAUUCUCAAAAGACAUAUUAUGUUGUAUUUUACACCUGAUGCAUUUACAGUUACCACUAACAAGCAAGAAAAAAAUCUCCUCUACAGAGUUUGAAGUAUAUAUUUUUAAAUUAUUGUUGCUUCUAAAAAUACAAAAAUAGAUUUGGAGGUUGAUAUUUUUGGCAGGGGCUCUGAAUAUUUUCAUGUGGAAGUCAGCAACCUAAUAAGCCUGACUUACUGAGUGGAUCAGUGGGUUGUAAUUCUGGUAACUUAUUUUUUAACUAGCUUGAGGCUAGGUCUAUCUCAAUUAUGCUUCAGGUUGUAUAAUAGAUUAUAUGGCAUAUUCAAUAAAGUUGAUAUUGUAUUAAACACAGUAGAGACAAUUAAUGAAUAUUUUUUUCUCGUGAGUUGAUAUUUUAAAAAGAGUUAAUUAUGUAGAAUUUUUUGAAAGGCUUUAUUCAAUAGGACUCAAUACCGGUCUGAUCAUCAUCCUACGAUAAUGGGAUAUGGGUCACAGCAGGGAGAAAAUCAAUAGUGCUGAUGGGCUAUUUUAUUUAAAUCUCAAGCAGUUUUCUCUUCAUAAUAAGAAGAUGUUUUCCAAUUAAAUUGUAAAUUUGAACUAAUAUAUUGUUUUAUAUAAGAUACUUUAUAACUUA
rnacentral:lncRNA from 10 species